rfam:Chlorocebus sabaeus isolate 1994-021 chromosome 5, whole genome shotgun sequence.
GCCGGGCGCGGUGGCUCACGCCUGUAAUCCCAGCACUUUGGGAGGCCGAGGCGGGUGGAUCACGAGGUCGGGAGAUUGAGACCAUCCUGGCCAACACGGUGAAACCCCGUCUCUACUAAAANNNNNNNNNNUUUUAGUAGAGACGGGGUUUCACCGUGUUGGCCAGGAUGGUCUCAAUCUCCCGACCUCGUGAUCCACCCGCCUCGGC